rnacentral:rRNA from 1 species
AACGUAGGUACCGAGCGUUAUCCGGAUUUACUGGGCGUAAAGCGCGUUCAGGCGGUUUGGCAAGUCGGGCAUGAAAUCUCUCGGCUCAACCGGGAGAGGUUGUCCGAUACUGCCGGACUUGAGGGCAGUAGAGGGUGGUGGAAUUCCGGGUGUAGUGGUGAAAUGCGUAGAUAUCCGGAGGAACACCAGUGGCGAAGGCGGCGACCUGGUUCGAUACUGACACUGAGGUGCGAAAGCGUGGGGAGCAAACAGG